rnacentral:rRNA from 1 species
UACGAAGGGGGCUAGCGUUGCUCGGAAUUACUGGGCGUAAAGGGAGCGUAGGCGGACAGUUUAGUCAGAGGUGAAAGCCCAGGGCUCAACCCUGGAAUUGCCUUUGAUACUGACUGUCUUGAGUGUGGGAGAGGUGUGUGGAACUCCGAGUGUAGAGGUGAAAUUCGUAGAUAUUCGGAAGAACACCAGUGGCGAAGGCGACACACUGGCCCAUUACUGACGCUGAGGAUCGAAAGCGUGGGGAGCAAACAGG